rnacentral:rRNA from 1 species
AGCAGCCGCGGUAAUUCCAGCUCCAAUAGCGUAUAUUAAAGUUGUUGCAGUUAAAAAGCUCGUAGUUGAACCUCGGGGUCUACCCAUUGGUCAGGCUUAAUUGUCUGCACUGGUGAGAUGGAUCUCUACCUUCUGAGGAACUUUCAUGCCAUUUAUUUGGUGUGAUGGGAAAUCAGGACUGUUACUUUGAAAAAAUUAGAGUGUUUAAAGCAGACUAUCGUCUGAAUACAUUAGCAUGGAAUAAUGAAAUAGGACGGACUGAUUCUAUUUCGUUGGUUUCUAGGAUCACCGUAAUGAUUAAUAGGGAUAGUUGGGGGCAUUAGUAUUCAAUUGUCAGAGGUGAAAUUCUUGGAUUUAUUGAAGACUAACUACUGCGAAAGCAUUUGCCAAGGAUGUUUUCAUUAAUCAAGAACGAAAGUUAGGGGAUCGAAGACGAUCAGAUAUCGUCGUAGUCUUAACCAUAAACUAUGCCGACUAGGGAUCGGACGAAGUUAAUUUUAUAAUGACGCGUUCGGCACCU